rnacentral:tRNA from 1 species
AGGGGUAUAGCUCAGUGGUAGAGCAUGUGCCUGGUGUGCCUAAGGUCCUCAGUUCAAACUCCAGUGCCUCUG